rnacentral:rRNA from 1 species
ACACGUGAGUAACCUGCCCUUAACUCUGGGAUAAGCCUGGGAAACUGGGUCUAAUACCGGAUAUGACUCCUCAUCGCAUGGUGGGGGGUGGAAAGCUUUAUUGUGGUUUUGGAUGGACUCGCGGCCUAUCAGCUUGUUGGUGAGGUAAUGGCUUACCAAGGCGACGACGGGUAGCCGGCCUGAGAGGGUGACCGGCCACACUGGGACUGAGACACGGCCCAGACUCCUACGGGAGGCAGCAGUGGGGAAUAUUGCACAAUGGGCGCAAGCCUGAUGCAGCGACGCCGCGUGAGGGAUGACGGCCUUCGGGUUGUAAACCUCUUUCAGUAGGGAAGAAGCGAAAGUGACGGUACCUGCAGAAGAAGCGCCGGCUAACUACGUGCCAGCAGCCGCGGUAAUACGUAGGGCGCAAGCGUUAUCCGGAAUUAUUGGGCGUAAAGAGCUCGUAGGCGGUUUGUCGCGUCUGCCGUGAAAGUCCGGGGCUCAACUCCGGAUCUGCGGUGGGUACGGGCAGACUAGAGUGAUGUAGGGGAGACUGGAAUUCCUGGUGUAGCGGUGAAAUGCGCAGAUAUCAGGAGGAACACCGAUGGCGAAGGCAGGUCUCUGGGCAUUAACUGACGCUG